UCUUAAUCAAAUGAUUGAUUAUAUGUAAGGAGUAAACUAGUGUGCUAUUAGAAGGAUGGAGACUUCUGUGCUACUGAACCAUUUUUGAUAAUGGGAUUUUUAAAUUGACGACCAGCUCCGUUAGCCUUAAUCUAGCGUAUUUGAACUACUUAGAAAAUAAUUUUUACAGAUUUUCGAUAUUAUUUACCUAGUGAUCGAAAUGAUUCAAAAUCAAUAAUUUGUAAUGGUUGAUAGAUGCUGUUUGCAAGUUUAACGGUGUAGAAGUAUUCAAAUCGGAUAAAAUUUUGAUAAAAAAUUCUUUAUACUAUCUAUAACAAAAUUAAUAUCUUUGAUCGAAAAUUUUAAUAUUACAUCAUAGUUUUUUGUGAGAUUUUUAUUUUCAAUCGUUGAUUUUGAAUUCUUUCGAUUACUAGGUAAAUUAUAUUGAAAUUAUUUUCUAGAUACUUCCAAUAUACUAGAUCAAGUUUAAUGAAGCCAAUCAUCGAUUCGAAAGUCUCAUCAUCGAAAAUAGCUUAGGAGUACGGAGGUCUUCGUGUUCCUAAUAGCACACAAAACCUACUCUAUAUAUAAGUACUCUAGAUCUUUUACAACCCUAAUGAUGAGAGAAGACAUGCAACAAAACAGGUUAAUAAAAUUCAAACAAAGUCUACUCAACUAGUAUCCAUGUAGGUAAGUCAAGCCCUUCAACCAAGCGUAAAUGAAAAAAAGAAAAAGAAAAAAAAAAAAAAAAAGACAGGUGACCUUAUCGACAUUAAUAAUACUACUAACAGAACAGAUACAUUAAACUAAGAUCAUUAAACUAAGAUAAUUCUGACAACGUAGACAAAGAUUCAUGGAAUCUGCUCUUCUAAUGAAAUUCAUUGUGCUGUUUCGAUCAUUACAAAAUAGAGAAAGGCGUGGCGCGGCGUGGCGCUGCGCGGCACAAAGAACCAUUAUUCUCAAUGGGCCAAACUAAUCCUCCUCCAAGUUGAUGGAGUCCUUGAAUUUCCCAUACAAGAUCUUCUUGAGCUCGGCCAUCUGAGCGAGCACGGAUUCCUUCUCUUCCUCCAGCCUCUCCAGAUCCUUGCUAGCAUCCUCUUUCAUCUUCUCCAACCGGAUCUCGACCUCCUCCCGUGGCAUGUGCGCGAACACCUCCCCUAUUUGGAACCUAACCACAUCCUCGUCCGAUAAGAUCAACUCAUUGCUAGCAUCCUCGAGGCUUUCAUUUGAUUCCUGCAGCAAAAAAGAGCAAGAAUAGUUAUGCAUGCGAUGUUGCUAGUGUAUUUCCAAUCUUCAUUUUCCUUCUUAGUUUUAGAGGAAAUGAGGAGCUCUAAAAAUUGUGUUUCAUAAAUUCAUCGAAUAUUCAGAAUGAUGAAAUGUGACAUGAUCACAGCUUACGUUUGAUUUCAGAUAUAUUAGGGGCUGAGGACAAAAACCACCCAUGCACUUUCACCCCUGAAUGUGUACUGUAAGUGUACUGCAAGUAUCAACCUCAGGGUUAUACUCUCAUCUUUAUUAUGGCAACGAAAUUUAGAUGACCGUUGAAUUUGGCUCUUCAAACUAAGAAAAGUGACUCUUGAAUUUGGGCACAACUCAGGUGAUUAUGUUUCAUAGGAAAGAAUGGCAUGAAAGGACACUUCUGAACGGCUCAAUAAGCUGCCAAAAUAAUUGAUCUAGUAAAGAAGGAUGGAUUGAAUUCAAAAUGCAGGACGAUGUCUCGAUAGGAUGGAAAAUAUAGGGGUGGCCUUUCAAGUAUGAGAAGUAGCAAUAGGAGAAGCUGAGUAAAAAGAUCUUCAAAGGGAUCCCUUAAUUAUUUAGUCUUUCCUUCCAUCCUCAAACCCUGCUGAACACAUCUUUGGUUGCAGGAAAGGAGAAACAGCACCAACAAAGACUAAAUUCGCACAGUUACCGCAAAGCAAACAAAGUUCCGAGCUAUUACUUCCUGCUUCAAAAUACAGCAAACACCUCUUGUAAUAAAAGAUUUGUUAGCCCUAUAUAUUGACGUUAAGUUCUCCAAACAGGAAAGAUCAGUUUGUCGAUAAUAUACAUCAUUCUUUCCCUAAACCCUGUCAACAAAUUCAGCACCACGGUUUCAAGAAUUUCAUCAUUUGUUCCAAGUACCAGAAAUUAAUAUCCAGUUGCAGCUCGUGGUUUCGACGCUCAAGCUAAAUUCUCACUAGUUUGAGGAGGUUCCCUAUUGAAGUUCAUUGAGAGUGGGACCUAACCGACUGUCCAGAUGACUGUCAUUGAGAGUGAACCUAAACGACUGGCCGCAUGAUUGUCAUUAGCUAUAACAUGUUACAACAUUUUACAGAAUUUUGGGCUGGGUGAUUAAGUGAGACAGAUCGAAGGCUCAUGUAAUUUUUUUUUCUUUUUCUUUUUUCAGAAUUCAAAAGUUUACGGGGCAAAGUGUAACCGGGUCAAAGUUCAAGGGGAUCUAGCAUAUUUUUCUCAAUGUUAUAUAAUGCAGGAAAUCAAAUUUUCCAAAGAUCUUUGUAGAUGACACUUGAGAUAGACCACCAAAGUGAACAUCUAUGAACCAAAUCAGCAAAAAGAGUCAAUACCUUUAAAACAUGGUAGUAGUUUCUAAGCCACCGUUUGGUUCGGGGUUAAGGAAAAAGUAGCUAUUCCAGGAAUAGAGUUAAGUUCAGGGUUAAAGUGGGGCUAAAGUUUUUUUGUGUUUGGUUGGGGGUUGGAGUUAGUCUAGAAUAUUGAAAAAUAGUGUUUGGUUGGAGUAGGUGGGAUAAGAAGAUACUGAUUGAUAAAGAAAGAUAAUGAUUGGUUGGAGUUGAGUAUUAAAAUUGUCAUAUUUAUAAAUUUCACUCACAAUAGUAUUUCCUGAACUACAAUUAAUAUUUUAGUUAUAAUAUCAUUUUAACCCUCCGAAAAUACUAAUUUCUAACCUUUUAAAUUUAGCCCCUAGUGGAGUUGAGUAUCGUUAGGCGUUUUCAAAUCCGAUUUGUUCCGAUCUUUCAAACUUUGCAUUGCUAUUCGAAUAUCAUUAAUAAUUCAGAAAUAUUUACGUACAUCAAGUCAAUAUGCACAUCAACGAACAUUUACACAGAUAACAACACAUUGAAUCAAAAACAAAAACAUAUACAACCAAAAUGUUUUAAAAGAGUACAAAUAUAUAACAGAGUAAAAAAAUAACAUAUCUACCUACCAAUAUUCAACGCAGAAAAUAUCAUCACAAUAUAUAACAUUAAUACAUGCUCCAUAACAGGCAUAAAUAAGCAAGUAUUACAAAGCAUAUGCAUCUCAAACAUUAUCAUCUUACAAUUGUCAAAUAACAAUAUAACCACUACACUCAAUUGUACCAAAUAUCAACACAAUUAUCUAAUUUAUAUAAAAUUAUAUUCUAGUGUUCCACAAUUGAUUUUUAAUAUUAGCACGUAGAUCCUCACCAUUUUGGGAGUCCUCAAUUACUCCCACUAAAUCGCCCACUCCACCUUCAUUUUCAGCGUCCUGUUCAUCUGGACCCUCAUCAGAAAAAAUAUUGUCAUUUGCUUGGUGACGGCGAAUAAAGUUAUGUAUUAUACAACAUGCCAUAGCAAUCAAGCAUUGAAUACGAAAACGGUGUUGCUACAUUUAGAAUUUUGAAACGCUUCUUCAAAAUGCCAAAUGUCCUCUCAACCACAUUCCUUAAUUGAGCAUGCCGGUGGUUAUACAAAUCUCGUGAAUUUCGAUGAACGUGGGCCCGUGUGCUUGCGUCAAACUGACUAAUAUGGUAACGCUCUCCUCUAUAGGGUGCAAGAAAUUUUUCAGUAUUUGCAUAUCCCGAGUCUACUAAGUAAUACUUGCCUGCAAAUAAUAUAAUAACCACAUGUCAUUAGUAUAAAAAACUUAUCUACAAUAGUGUUCAUAUAUAUUUAAAUCUAACAAAAAAUUUAUUAGCAACACUACCUUCGGGAACAACGAAACCACCUAUUUCGCAUGCCCAUCGAAGGACUCUCAUACCGGCAGCAGAGCCUUCCCAUCUUGUGCAUACAAAUAAAAAAUUAAGAUCAAAUGACACCGCAGCCAUCAUAUUUUGUGAGGUGAACCCUUUUCGACAUCGAAGUGGUGCUUGUUUACUCCUUUCGACCACUACUGGAAUAUGUGUUCCGUCGAUCGCACCAAUAUUAUUCUACAGUUUACAAAAGAAAAGAUAAAAACAUUUGUAAUAAAUUUUAUUUAUACACCAAUGUAUUAUACGUAUAAGUGUGUAUGGUUACCUUGAAAGGAUAAAAAUUUGGAUUAUCCCGAAUUCUUGGAUGCACGGCAGCAUUACUUGACGGCAACAUUAUGUAGUCAUCUUUUAGCCUCACAAUGCCGCGUAGUACAUUGUUAAAAUGCCUACUGAUGGUUUCUCCGGAAUGUUGGAAUGUUUUCGCCAAUAUUCGGUUUGCCACGCCAUGCCCUACGCCAUAUAGAAAUAUGCCUAACUGCUCAUCAUCAGUCAUAUUUCUUGUGCUACUUAUUAACCCCCUCUCGACUAAAGCAUCGCGGAGUGCAAUAAAUAUAAUUGCACUCAUACGAAAGUGAUGAUAGCAACAUUCAUGAUGACCAGAUAAGAUAUGACACAACAUUUGAUGUCCGGUAAACGACCGAGUCCGACACCUUUGUCUGGGUACUCUAUUUGCAACUGGUUCAGAUUCUAACUCAAGUAGCAUUAUAGCCUCGAUAGAUUCAUCAUCGUUAUCUAAUAUUGUCAUAAUGGUGGCUAUGAACGCUGAAGAAAAAAUUCUUUUGUAUAGUGGGUUCGCCAUUAAUGUCUUUCUAAUUGCAACUGUUGUAAAUAUCGAAUAAAUCAGCACUUAAUAAUAAAUAAUAAAAAUAAAUAAAUACACACGAACAUAUAACUAUAGCAAGAGGUAAUAUAUAUGGCGCCAACAUAUAAUAAUCUUCCAACAACAGAAAAAUAUGCAAAGCUAAUAAGAGUAGAGGAAACAUAAAUUAAAGCGUCAUACAAUCAAGAGUCACCACCACAAGGUAGAAACUAUGCAAAGUUAAGAUAAAGAAGAACUACCAAUACCACCACAAGCUAGAAAAUAUGCACGUCCACACGCAAUAUAGGUCGAGGUACGAUAAAGAAGAACUACCAAUACGCCAUUUGUCUAAAUCUCGGAAAAUGACGGCCUAUAGAUAAGAUUUUGCUGCGCAAUUUCUCGCUCAACCCACUUUCUUGCAUGCUUGUCAUUCAAUGACAUGAAAGUAUUGCGAUUCUUUUCUUCCUUAAACGCAUCACAGAGAACUAAGAUAUCAUCAUCACUUAAUCCCGUCAUCCCAUACACUCGUUGCAUGCAUUGGUUCUGCGAUGGCAUAUCAGUGCUCUUGCUCAGCUCUAGCUGACAUAGUUGCCGCACCCAACCAAGCUUUUCCUUACCCUGCUCCGCGAUGUCAAGGAAAGCAGAAGUCCGGGCAUCUACUUUCUUUUUUCGUCCCCCAGAUGUAGAUGCCGUUUGUGCUUGCUUAUUGCUACGCUCUGGAGAACGAGCUCUUUUACUACCAGAGCUAUGAGCAGAACCACUUGCACCAGUUGUAGGCAUCACGGGAGGGCUUGGGGAGCGUGACGUAUUUGCUUCAUCAAAGUUAGCAUAUCUGGCGCACCCAGAUCCCCCUGCUUCGAAUGGGUCAGAUGAGAGAUUACAAGCUGACAUUCCAAUGCCAGCAAUAGUAUCAUCCUCACCAGGGGAUGACCCAGAGGAGCUUUCAAUUAUAGGGGGAAGCUCCACAGCACUUGUAAAUGCAUAUCUUCCUGUCGCAGUUGUAUUUUGGGUAAGAAAUUCCAUGUCAUCGUAGGCGGGAAAGGGCUUAUCCCUACACCUGGCGUACGCCGGAUUCUCCUGAAGUAAUAAUAUUAACAAUUUAAUACUAUCAUAUAAUGUACAUGUCUUAAUAAGACAGUAACGCUAGUAUAAAAGAAAUUGUAAUUACCGCUAUUAUAGAAUCUCAGAUUCUUGCGUCACCAGGUGUGGGAAUGUGCAAGUCAGAGUUCCAUCCCCACCCGCUCUUGUUGGCAAGAGAAUGGUACAAAUUGAAAAUUUUUUUAAAACUUUAAAUCGAUUCUUCAAUUGUGUCUUUGUUAGGUUCAUAUUGUUUCGACUGUUGAAAUCAUUUACUAUCCGCUUCCACGCAAUCGGAGUGAAUGACCCAUUUACGUACCAAAUGUAUGUUCAUCUCUCAUAAGCCCCAACAAUUGUGUAUCCAAAAUGUUGCUCCAAUUUUGACUUCUAGUUCUUGUAUCAAUACGAAUGCUACUGCUAGCCUCAAUAGGUGACUCAUCUGCGAGCCCAUGAUGCUUCUGUUUGGACUUAGAAACUUUUUUGAAUGGACGCAUCUGUAGUUUAUAAUUAAAAAGAGUGCAUGAUAGAUGCAUGAAUAUGAGUUAAAUGCAAGACUUGUUUUUCACUACCAAGUAUAGUGCAUAAUGGCUACAAGGGUCUACCCCUUAACCCCCAACCAAACACUAGCUAAGAAAAUCAUACCCAAACACUAGCUAAAUGGGGUGGGGUUUACUAACCCCACCCCCUCCCAGCUUUAUCUCUGCACGUUUCCCGAGCUCCACUUUCCCCUUUCUUCUCUCCAGCUUCUUCCUCUUCCUCUCCAUUCUCACGCCUUGCUCCCCAAGCUUCACGCCCCUCUCCCACGCCUUGCUCUCCAAGGUUAACCGCCGGAUCCCCUUCACCUCGGCCCGAAGCCCCUCCGGCCUCACCUUCACUUGUCGCCUGUCCUCCCCUCUCGUUGCCUCACCUCCGGUCUUCGCUGCAUCACCUCCGGUCGUCACCUCACCUCCCCUUCGGCCUCACCUUCGCUCCGGCCUCACCAUCGCUCGUUGCCUGUCCUCCCCUCUCGUUGCCUCACCUCCGGUCUUCGCCUCAUCACCUCCGGUCGUCGCCUCACCUCCCCUCCGACCUCACCUCCCCUCCGGCCUCACCUCUAGUCGUCGCCUCACCUCCCCUCCGGCCUCACCUCCCCUCGUCGCCGCCUUACAUCCCCUCCGGUCUCACCUCCUGUCAUCGCCUCACCUCCUCUCGCCUCACCUCCCCUUCGGCCUCACCUCCGGCCGUCGCCUCACCUCCCCUCGUCAGCGUUGGUCGUAAGUGCCUCACAUCUGGCUAAACCCUUUGCUACUUCUUCCUCGAUCUACCGAUCUGUGCCCUCCUUCAUCAGCGAUUUGCUUGAUGAUAUUUUUUUGGGGGCUUUCUUCACAUGCGAUCGGUGUCGGCUUUAACCUACAAUUUGGUUGUUGAUUCGGUUGGUGAAUCAUCUCGAUUUGGGGUUUUCUUCACCUGCAAUCUGUGUCGGCCUUAAGCUGCGACUUGCUUGUUGAUUCGGUUGUUGAUUUUUUGUUUUGGGGUUUCCUUAUCGGCGAUCUAUGCCGCCCUAAAUCUGUGAUUUUGUUGCUGAAUCUCUGUUUUCUGGUUUUGUCCGCCUGUGAACUGUGUCGCCAUUCUCACGCACGAUCCUUGCUGUCGGAGAGGCUUCGUGCUGCCAACUGUGGAAUUUGCUUCACAUCUUGCCAUUUGCGAGUUUUUUGUACACCCCCACUGUGCGUCCCUGCAAGUUGCUUGGGUCGAUCUUUAUUUUCGGGUUUAGAUUAAUUUGUGUGGCGUGGGUAUCUCUGUGCUUGCCUGUGGACAUCCUUGAGCUUGGUAUAUUUGCUAUAGCCAAGUUACAUUAUUUCUAACUUUUCUAUUUAUCCAAUGCUGGUGAAAUAAAUCAAACGAAUCUGCAUGCUAGUUGGUAUAAUGAAGAUUAUGCAUAUUGGUAAUUCAGAUCAUACUUUUGCAUUUUCUGCUGCCUGUUCAAUAUCGAUAUCUGAUAAUACUUGCGCAUAUUCUCGUUGCUACAUGAAAUAGCCAAGUUAUUCAUACUCUUCUCUCGGAUGUCGUGAGGAAGAAUUGUAGAUACACUGAUGAGGGAAAGAUAUACUGCUGGGAAAUAUAUGGUUCGGCGAUGAUGACGGUUUCUAAUUAAGAUUAGAUGGAUGGCAUCGAUUGAAAAAUUAAUGCAACCCCAUUUUAGUUGGAAACCACUUGAGCCAUUUGUGGGAAUGAACUAUCUAAACCUUAUUUCGACGAACAUGCUUUUGUACAUAGGAGGCAGAUAUGUAAUUAAAUAUGUAAUUUAUCGUUGAUUUAAGUAGACCCUUAUAGCCAUUAUACACUAUACUUGGUAGUGAAAAACAAGUCUUGCAUUUAACUCAUAUUCAUGCAUCCAUCAUGCACUCUUUUUAAUUAUAAACUACAGAUGCGUCCAUUCAAAAAAGUUUCUAAGUCCAAACAGAAGCAACAUGGGCUCGCAGAUGAGUCACCUAUUGAGCCUAGCGGUGGAAUUCGUAUUGCUACAAGAACUAGAAGUCAAAAUUGGAGCAACAUUUUGGAUGCACAAUUGUUGGGACUUAUGAGAGAUGAACAUACAUUUGGUAAUUACGUAAAUGGGUCAUUCACUCCGAUUGCGUGGAAGCGGAUGGUAAAUGAUUUCAACAGUCGAAACAAUAUGAACCUAACAAAGACACAAUUGCAGAAUCGAUUUAAAGUGUUAAAAUUUUUUUUCAAUUUGUACCAUUCUCUUGCCAACAAGAGCGGGUGGGGAUGGAACUCUGACUUACACAUUCCCACACCUGGUGACGCAAGAAUCUGAGAUUCUAUAAUAGCGGUAAUUACAAUUUCUUUUAUAAUAGCGUUACUGUCUUAUUAAGACAUGUACAUUAUAUGAUAGUAUUAAAUUGUUAAUAUUAUUACUUCAGGAGAAUCCGGCGUACGCCAGGUGUAGGGAUAAGCCCUUUCCCGCCUACGAUGACAUGGAAUUUCUUACCCAAAAUACAACUGCGACAGGAAGAUAUGCAUUUACAAGUGCUGUGGAGCUUCCCCCUAUAAUUGAAAGCUCCUCUGGGUCAUCCCCUGGUGAGGAUGAUACUAUUGCUGGCAUUGGAAUGUCAGCUUGUAAUCUCUCAUCGGACCCAUUCGAAGCAGGGGGAUCUGGGUGCGCCAGAUAUGCUAACUUUGAUGAAGCAAAUACGUCACGCUCCCCAAGCCCUCCCGUGAUGCCUACAACUGGUGAAAGUGGUUCUGCUCAUAGCUCUGGUAGUAAAAGAGCUCGUUCUCCAGAGCGUAGCAAUAAGCAAGCACAAACGGCAUCUACAUCUGGGGGACGAAAAAAGAAAGUAGAUGCCCGGACUUCUGCUUUCCUUGACAUCGCGGAGCAGGGUAAGGAAAAGCUUGGUUGGGUGCGGCAACUAUGUCAGCUAGAGAUGAGCAAGAGCACUGAUAUGCCAUCGCAGAACCAAUGCAUGCAACGAGUGUAUGGGAUGACGGGAUUAAGUGAUGAUGAUAUCUUAGUUCUCUGUGAUGCGUUUAAGGAAGAAAAGAAUUGCAAUGCUUUCAUGUCAUUGAAUGGCAAGCAUGCAAGAAAGUGGGUUGAGCGAGAAAUUGCGCAGCAAAAUCUUAUCUAUAGGCCGUCAUUUUCCGAGAUUUAGACAAAUGGCGUAUUGGUAGUUCUUCUUUAUCGUACCUCGACCUAUAUUGCGUGUGGACGUGCAUAUUUUCUAGCUUGUGGUGGUAUUGGUAGUUCUUCUUUAUUUUAGCUUUGCAUAGUUUCUACCUUGUGGUGGUGACUCUUGAUUGUAUGACGCUUUAAUUUAUGUUUCCUCUACUCUUAUUAGCUUUGCAUAUUUUUCUGCUGUUGGAAGAUUAUUAUAUGUUUGCGCCAUAUAUAUUACAUCUUGCUAUAGUUAUAUGUUCGUGUGUAUUUAUUUAUUUUUGUUAUUUAUUAUUAAGUGCUGAUUUAUUCGGUAUUUACAACAGUUGCAAUUAGAAAGACAUUAAUGGCGAACCCACUAUACAAAAGAAUUUUUUCUUCAGUGACCAUAGCCACCAUUAUGACAAUAUUAGAUGAUGAUGAUGAAUCUAUCGAGGCUAUGAUGGUACUUGAGUUAGAAUCUGAACCAGUUGCAAAUAGAGUACCCAGACAAAGGUGUCGGACUCGGCCGUUUACCGGACAUCAAAUAUUGUGUCAUAUCUUAUCUGGUCAUCAUGAACGUUGCUACCAUCACUUUCGUAUGAGUGCAAUUAUAUUUAUUGCACUCCGCGAUGCUUUAGUCGAGAGGGGGUUAAUAAGUAGCACAAGAAAUAUGACUGCUGAUGAGCAGUUAGGCAUAUUUCUAUAUGGCGUAGGACAUGGCGUGGCAAACCGAAUAUUGGCGAAAACAUUCCAACAUUCCGGAGAAACCAUCAUUAGGCAUUUUAACAAUGCACUACGCGGCAUUGUGAGGCUAAAAGAUGACUACAUAAUGUUGCUGUCAAGUAAUGCUGCCGUGCAUCCAAAAAUUCGGGAUAAUCCAAAUUUUUAUCCUUUCAAGGUAACCAUACACACUUAUACGUAUAAUACAUUGGUGUAUAAAUAAAAUUUAUUACUAAUGUUUUUAUCUUUUCUUUUGUAAACUGUAGAAUGCUAUUGGUGCAAUCGACGAACACAUAUUCCAGUAGUGGUCGAAAGGAGUAAACAAGCACCAUUUCGAUGUCGAAAAGGGUUCACCUCACAAAAUAUGAUGGCUGCGGUGUCAUUUGAUUUUAAUUUUUUAUUUGUAUGCACAAGAUAGGAAGACUUUGCUGCCGAUAUGAGAGUACUUCGAUGGGCAUGCGAAAUAGGUGGUUUCGUUGUUCCCGAAGGUAGUAUUGCUAAUAAAUUUUUUGUUAGAUUUAAAUAUAUAUGAACACUAUUGUAGAUAAAUUUUUUAUACUAAUGACAUAUGGUUAUUAUAUUAUUUGCAGGCAAGUAUUACUUAGUAGACUCGGGAUAUACAAAUACUGAAAAAUUUCUUGCACCCUAUAGAGGAGAGCGUUACCAUAUUAGUCAGUUUGACGCAAGCACACGGGCCCGCGUUCAUCGAAAUCCACGAGAUUUGUAUAACCACCGGCAUGCUCAAUUAAGGAAUGUGGUUGAGAGGACAUUUGGCAUUUUGAAGAAGCGUUUCAAAAUUCUAAAUGUAGCAACACCGUUUUCGUAUAAAGUUCAAUGCUUGAUUGCUAUGGCAUGUUGUAUAAUACAUAACUUUAUUCGCCGUCACCAAGCAAAUGAUAACAUUUUUUCUGAUGAGGGUCCAGAUGAACAGGACGCUGAAAAUGAAGGUGGAGUGGGCGAUUUAGUGGGAGUAAUUGAGGACUCCCAAAAUGGUGAGGAUCUACGUGCUAAUAUUACAAAUCAAUUGUGGAACACUAGAAUAUAAUUUUAUAUAAAUUAGAUAAUUGUAUUGAUAUUUGGUAGAAAUGAGUGUAGUGGUUAUAUUGUUAUUUGACAAUUGGGGCUGAUUAUGAUGUAUGAGAUAGAUAUACUUUGUAAUACUUGCUUUUUUAUGUCUGUUAUGGAACAUGUAUUAAUGUUAUAUAUUGUGAUGAUAUUUUCUGCGGUUGAAUAUUGGUAGGUAGAUAUGUUGGUAGAUAUUCUUAUUUUUUUACUCUGUUAUAUAUUUGUACUCUUUCAAAAUAUUUUGGUUGUAUAUGUUUUUGUUUUUGAUUCAAUGUUGUUGUUAUCUGUGUAAAUGUUCGUUGAUGUGCAUAUUGACUUGAUGUACGUAAAUAUUUCUGAAUUAUUAAUGAUAUUCGAAUAGCAAUGCAAAAUUUGAAAGAUCGGAACAAAUCGGAUUUGAAAACGCCUAACGAUACUCAACUCCACUAGGGGCUAAAUUUGAAAGGUUGGAAAUUAGUAUUUUCGGAGGAUUAAAAUGAUAUUAUAACUAAAAUAUUAAUUGUAGUUCAGGAAAUACUAUUGUGAGUGAAAUUUAUAAAUAUGACAAUUUUAAUAUUGUUGUUUGAAAAUUUGAGGAAUUUUUCAAAAUUACAAAAUAGUGGAAAAUAAUUUUUGGUAUACAAUUACGCAAAAAUUUAUAUAAUUUUAAUCCUCAUAAUAAUGAGCAAGCAUAGAAUUUUUAAAACAAUAAAGAAAAUAUUUAUUUCAAAUGAUUACAGUGAGGCUAUUUUAGUAAUUUUACUUUCUUUAUUAAUCAUUAUCCUUCUUAUCCCACCUGCUCCAACCAAUCAUUAUCCUUUUUUAUCAAUCAUUAUCUUCUUAUCCGACCUACUCCAACCAAACACUAUUUUUCAAUAUUCUAGACUAACUCCAACCCCCAACCAAACAAAAAAAAAACUUUAACCCCACUUUAACCCUGAACUUAACCCUAUCCCUGGAAUAGCUACUUUUUCCUUAACCCCGAACCAAACAGUGGCUUAGGAAACUGUAGAUAUCAUGACAAGAUCCACUUCUUUUCCUCAGGAAUUAUGAAAGUAGAUCCGCAAGAACAAGCUGAGCUCUUAACUUAGCACCAGGACUUAAAAAAAAAUAAAAAUAAGUUCACAAAUUAUAUGAGAUUGAUCUCUAGUAUUUUAAUGAUGUGAAACAGAAGGGGAAAUAUUUGCACAGUGCUUGUUUUAGCAGGGUUUUGCAGUGGCAGCUGCUUCUAGUUCUCUACCUGCUUUACUUGUACGCUCCCUGCUCUUAAAUUCUACUACCAAACUGUAACAACCCAAAAUUCGAGCAAAAAGGCGUCAAAAAAGGUUAAAAAAAAAAACUUUUCCAAAUCUCUGAGCAGGAAUUUGAAUGAACCAAGUCAAAUAGACACUGUGAAUGAAUUAAAUUAAAUGAGUUAUAUGUUAAUUUGAUUCAACACGAAUUGAAUUUGAAGCAAGCAAGUUCAAAAAAUCUUUGCAAGGUUUCAAAUGAGUUUAAUGAGGUCCUGGUCAAGUUUGAUUUGAUUUGAUUUGAAUGCAGAUUGAUAAAAAAUCGAAAGGUUUCAGUACAAUUGGAGCGUUACACCGCCACUCGCUCGAAAUGCAUAGGAAUCUCAAUUUAACUUGCCCAAACCAUAGACUCUUAAUAGGAGACCUAAAACACGAUUAACACCUCCCAAUUAGAAAGUUCUUGGGGCUCAAAACCUACGCCAAAAAUAUCAAAUCUGAAAAUACUACCUAAAUCUCAUAUUUGGUCAAGAACCCAAUUUGGAGCAAUACAACUUCCAUAUAAUUUAUCAAAACCAAAAUCAUGGCCUAUCCAUAUAGCUUUGUAUUGGCCCUUAAAUUCAAGUAAAAAGAAUCAAAACUUCACAAUUAACCCUUAUUUUGCACUCCCAAUGUUCUAAUUCGCAAAUGUCAAUCUAAUUCCUUAUUAGGAUAAACCCCUAAUUUAAAAAUUUGAGUAUAAAGCUAUAAAACCCUAAAACUAUAGCCGGGUACAAAUGUACCUGUCACUGCCCAAAUACCCGCCCUUCAAGUAAUUUCCCCACACGUCCCCACCCCACCCCCAGGUACCUCCGACUCUACCCUACCCAUGCUGCCCCUAUAAAGUAAUAUGCACAUUUAUGUAAAAUGUCAAUGUUUCAGAUUUUUAGUUUCCAAUUACACACACACACACACACACACACACACACACACACAUACACAUAUAUAUAUUAUCGGGGUUGGGCGGAUACGAGUAAUGGGGCGGGGCGACCUCAUUCCGACCCUGCCUUGUACCCAAGCCCUUCCCCUGAGUAGGUCGGGUAUGUACCCGCCCCGCUCCCGGUCAACAUGUUGACUACCUGACCCGCUCGGGUAUCCGCAGGUAUGAGCACAAUUGCCAUCCCUAGAAACAAUAUGCAUAUAAGAAUGAGAAUAUGCUCACUUGGCCCGAAUUGGAGAGAUUCUAGCUUAGAGGUGAAGUCCUUCAAAUUUUCACAAAUUUUCUUUUGAAAUUAGAUGGACAAGCCUUCUCCUAAGAUCUGAUCAUGCAAGAGUAGAAGAGGAGUUGUUUUGUAGCUGUUUGAAAGAAAGAGAGAAGAGGAAGAAUGAAAUUCCUUCUGCUCUUUUCUUCUAUGACACUUUAAGGCCAUAUCAGUCUUUUCACAGGGACUUAGAGGGUUUGAAAAGGUUUAGGCCAAUGCAUGUCGACCCCCAAGCCGCUGUAGGCAAGUUUUAAAUUAUAAAAGAUCAAAAUUAUCCUCAUAAAACUGAAAAAUUCCUAAUUAUCUUGCCGCUAUAUAGCAAUUCAGAUCACACUGACACACUUUAGUAAACACUUGACAUCUCACUCAUCCAAAAUCUGUUUUGCGUGAUUCAAGAUGCAUUGAAAAUGUAACUCGAAAAUCUUUCCAACAGGACCAAUUUCAUAUGAAUUGGAUUCCAAAAUCUCAAUUAAAAGUUCUCUCAAAGUGGCAGCAUGUGCAGUGGCAGCACGAGUUCAAGUAUCUCUAAAAUCCUCAGAUUUAAGAUAUGUUGUCAUAUCCAUGCUUGAAGUUACUCAUCCGUUUAUACCCUUUUCAGAUACAUUAAGAGCCAUCAAGAGGUUGAUAUUGGUUCUCAAGGAAUCCAAAGUAGCCUGCAACUUUCAACCAAUUAACAAGCCAACGCCAAGUUUAUCCAAUGACAGAAUUUUAGCAUUAGAAGUUAACAAAGUUCAGGCAUUAGGUCAGUCUAGUUUCCUAGAGUUCAAAAGAAAGCCUCCCUGCUGUCACAUAUAAAGAAGACCAAAUCAACAUGAAAAUGCAUCUCAUUCAGGUGCAAAGUAAGAAUGACUAUGUUGACUAGACUGUGAUUAAGAUAAUUUUUCACAACCCUGCCAAUUAACAUAGCGGUAAUUAGUGAAAUGCCUAAUUACAAUAAAUUGCCCAACAUCAAGUAUCAAUUCUGCACUAUACUUGAUAGGAUUACCUAUUUAAGGAUUUCAGCUCUUUGUGUUACCCUCCUUUCUGGAAUUAGUUAGGAUAAAAGCUUAACAAUUGGGAUACCACAAUUUCGCCAUACCCCUUAAAAAUCCUAUCCCUGGGAUCAACUGUGAUGUGCUCAAUUGCUUUCUAGUGAGAAAUGUUAUCAUCUUUUCCAUCUGUAUUCUUUUAUAAUUCUCUUAGCAUGUCAUAAUUCAAUUUUAUGCCUUUUUUUCCCAUUUUCUUGAUUCUCCUUGCAGCAGGUCUGACUGAAAUGCUAUUCAGAAAUAUCUAGUUGUAAUCGGUAUUAAACUUUUGCUUCGUUUUGUAUAUGUCCAUUGAUUCAAGUUGGGUAUCUAUACACUUGUAUACCGGCUUAAUUGUUAUCAUAUUACAGUUUAUCGAGUCAAAGAACCAUAGGCACUCAGGAUUGAAUCGGAUCAGAUAGGAUGAGAAAGCAAUAUUUUGAGGUGUUUCUGGGGACAUAUGAUGGGAUUUCCAAAAGUCAAUUUUUGUUCAAGCCCAACGUCUUGAGAGGUGCACGAUAUCAUAACUCACAUAACAAUUUUCAUUCUCUCUUACCAAGUUCUAACAAAAUCCUACACAAUCAGAAAUCUACACAUGGACAGCAAAACAAGUAAGUAGAACAGACAUCCUAAAAACUAUCAGUAAGCAAUCUAAUCAAGUUAAAGUUCAUGAAUGAACAUCCCGCAACAAUGCUUACCAAGGAUACCACAUGACUAAGAAGUAGCUUAGUUGAAACAAGAUGAUAGCUCAUUCUUACGCACAAAAGAACAAAGAAAUAUAUCCCAUGAUACCUUUAAGUUUAUUUUGGAGAAUCAUGGGAAAGAAUUUCAUCUUUAAAUCAAAAGAUUAAUCUCAACUCUCGAGUUAGUACUAUCCCCAUAAAUCAAGAAGCUAAAAUCAAACCCCGAUCUUGAUAUACCCUAACCUCCAUACCAUUCAUCAAAAACAUUAACAUUAAAAAAAAAUAAAAAAGCUACCAAAUUGCUCGCCCAUCACCAUUCACCAUCAUAACAGAUCAAAUAGAAAAAAGCGAUUUUUAGCUCAGAAAAUGAGAGAGAAAAAAAAAUCCCAAAAACAAGAUAAAAAAUAUUAAAAAAAAAAAAAGAAGAGGGAUUGGGAUUGAGAUUAAUUUACUUACCUUGGCGAGCUUGAUCUCGUCCUCGAGCUCAUGGAAUCGAUUGUUCAGUCUCCCGAACCUGUUUAUGUUCUGCUGAUCCUCCCACGUCACCUGCGCCUCCGAUCCGUCCCCCUUUUAAUCCAUCCAUCCAUCAUCAUCCCCCAAAUUAACCCAAAAUUAGAAAAAAAAAAAAAAAAAACACAUACAAAAUCGUUAGAAAUGUAGAUAAACACUUGAAUUUUUAGAUAGAUCUAGUUUUUGGGUUAGGGUUAGGGUUAGGGUUAGGGUUAGGGUUUUGUUUCGGGGUUAGGAGGCGAGGUGUUACCUGCUGCAUCGCGUCGACCACUGCGAGUGCGGAAGCGGCAGCGAAGGAAGAAGGAGGAUAUCGGGUCUCGGGCGCGCUGCGGUUCGGGUCGUUUGCUAACGGGUUAACUGCAUACGUAUUGCCACAUAAGGUGCAUAUGGAUCCGGGAUCCCCCACAAUGUUUUAGUUAUCAAACAUUUUGCUUCAAAAAUAUUAGGGAAAACUUCAAAUACCACUCCUGUGGUUUCACAUUUUCUCACUUUAGUAUUCUGUGGUUUAAAGUGUAUCACAUUAGUGUCCUGUGGUUUUAUUUUUAUCUUUCUAUUAUCGAUUUCACUAAUUUUUUUCAUUAAAUAAGUGACAAAGUUUAAACUAAAAAGGAUUAAAAGUGAAUACUCGAUAAAUCUAGAUAGAGUACCUGAAUUUUUUGUAUAUAAUUUAAUGAAAUAUUAACAAAAAAGUUGACGAAAAAAUAAAAAUAAAACCACAGAACACUAAUUUGAUACAAUUUAAACUAUAGGAUACUAAAGUGAGAAAGUGCGAAAUCACACGGUGGUAUUUGAAGUUUAUCCAAAAUAUUAUAAUUUGCAAGCAUAUUUCUACCAUAAUUAUGGACAAAAAUUUGAUGGGCAUAGUUUUCGAAUAAAAUUAUUUAAAAAUUAUUUGGACUUGUAAAAAUAAUAUUUUUAUUGGGCGGUUGAGAUGCACAUUACUUGCCAGUGGUGCCCAUCCGGACAAUCCUCAAAUAAUCUUAUUUGAAGACUACGUCCAUAAAAUUUUUGUCCGUUAAGAAUUGACUGAUUAAAAUUAAUAUUUUUUAAAAAAAUUAUUUUAUAUUUGAAUAAUAUUUUUUAAAAAUAUUUAUGAACUAUACAUUAUAAGUCCUAAACAAUUAAAAAAAAAAAAUCGAUAAGGGUAUAAUGGUCCAAAUGGUCAACCGAAAAUGGCACGAAUGUGCUUAGGGAUUUUGAAACUUUAAGGCUGCGUUUGGUUGGAGGGAUAUCCCAGAACAAGGCGGGAUAUCCCUCCAAACACAAUGUUUUUUGAAACAACCGGGUUGUUCCCGGCUUAACGGGUUGUUCCGGGAACAACCCGUUAAGCUUGUUCUCCCUUUUAAGAAGCUGGAACAAGAGAUUUUGGCUUCUUUUUUUUUUUUUUUCCUGGCCUUUAAUUGUAUUACUUUAUUUUAAUUAAUUUCAAAUAAUUAAAUGAAUGCUCAAAUUUAAUAAAUAAAUAUAUUAGUAUAAUAUUAUUUUUAUGAUAAUAUAUUUACUUAAUUUAUUAUAUAAUAUAAAUUAAUUAAAUUUGAUAUAUAUUUUAUAUUUAAGUUUUAUUGCUUAUAUAUUAAUAUUUAAUUAUUUUUUUUAUAUUAAUUAUUAUAUAAUAAAAUCUUUUUCAUAUAUUAUAUAUAUUUUUUAAUUGUAUUGAAUUUAUACUUAAAUUUUUAUGAUAUAUAUUUAUACUUAAUUUUAUUAUAUAAUAUAAAUUAAUUAAAUUUGAUAUAUAUUUUAUUUUAUUAAGUUUUCAUAUAUAUAUUAAUAUUUAAUUAUUUUAUUUAUAUUAAGUAUUAUAUACAUAAAUCUUUUUUUUCAUAAUUAUAUAUUAUUUUAAUUUGUAUUGAAUUUAUACUUAAUUUUUAUGAUAAUAUUUUAUACAAUUUAUUAUAUAUAUAAUUAAUAAAUUUGUAUAUUUUUUAUUUUAUUAAACUUUAUCAUUUAUACUUUAAUAUUUAAUUAUAUUAUUUUUUUAUUUGUAUUGAAAUUUAUACUAAUAUUAAUUAAAAAUAUAGGGAUAUUGUAGUAUUAUACUUUAUUCAUUAAUAUAUAUGAUAAAUUUAUUAAAUAAAUAUUACAUAAAAAUAUAUUAUAUAUAUAAAAUAAAAUAUAUUAUUUUAAAUUAGAUUCUUACAUAAAUAUUAUAUUAUAAAUUACUAUUGAAAUAAAUUUAUAAAUAAUUUUAUAUAAAAUAUACUAAUAUAAUUAAUUAUUUUAUUUUUAAAAAUAUAUUUAGACGUUGUUCUAGACUUUUUAUCCAACAGCUAUUAAGGAUAUCCUCUAGAAUAUCCUCGAAUGCAUCCAAACACAAAUUUACAAUUGUUCUAUUCUUUGUACCGGAAUAUCCCUGUUCUCGGGAAAACAAAAGUUGUUCUUCUAAAUUUAGUUCUCUAACAAACGCAGCUAAAAAAUAUAUUUAAUAACUAAAAAUUUUUAGGGAUGAUUAGUAAUUUUAAAAGUUUUGUAGGGAUGCAUUAAAAUGCGCUUGUGUACACAGUACACCUAAAAGAGGGUAUAUAAUAUAUAUAUAAGUUGCAUCAUCAUUCUGUGUUCAUGUCUGCCACACGAAUGACGCACCUCGCACGGCUGAUGGAUUUCAGGCGUGGGUAGUAUUCAUGAUGUAGAUUAAAGUAUGUGUAUUUAUGGUUAUCAGGAUUUGCGGAUCAUGGCUUCAAUAAACGCAAGGUCUUUGUUAAUUACCCCUACAGAAUAUUAGGGCACCUUCGAUUAAGAGACCUCUGAAAUGCUGAAUUAAACUGGAAUUGGACAAAAGGAAAUUUUAUAUUUAUUGCUCAAUUACAUGGCUUUAACCAAGGCAUACCUCAGUGUACAUGAUAGAGCGUAAAGAAAAUGUAUUUUUCAAUUGUAUCUUAGUUAUAUAUUCUAAGAUACCCAAUAUAUGGUCAAAUUAAUUUUGCUGGACUCUAUAUGUUGUGGAGCUCAACACUAUUCACUCUAUAGAUGAAAGAUUGAUUUAAUUCAUAUAUAUAUGCAUUGGAAUUUAAUCGAUUUAAUUCAGAUUAAACUCUAAUUAUAUGUAUUAGAGUUUGAUUUGGUUAAUUGAACUUUAAAUGUAUGUGAUAAAGUCCAAUAGAUGAUCAGAUUUAGUUGAACUCUAUAUAUUUUGGAGCUCAACUUUGUUUACAUGAGAUGAAAGAUUGAUUAAAUCCAUAUAUAUACAUUGGAAUUUAAUCGAACUUGGAUUAAACUCUGAACUUUAUAAUAUAUGUAAUAAAGUCCAAUAGAGUUUGAUUUGAGCUUUUAUCAUAAAUAUAGAUUAGGAUUAGCCCCAAUAUCUUGAAUUAGACUCUAAUUUUAUAUUUUUAGAGUCUGAUACAAUUAGGCUCUAAGUUUAUGUAUUAGAGCUUAGUCACAUUUUUUUAUUCAUCUCAAAGUGAAUAUUUAAUUAAUCCUAAUUAUAUGUAUUAGGAUUAGUCAGAUUUGAUUUAAAUUAAACUCCAAGUUGUAUGUAUUGGAAUCCAACAAAUUAAUUUGAUCAGAUGGUUUGAUCAAUUCUAAAUAUAGGUUUAGAAUUUGAUCAAGUUUGAAAUGAUUGUGAUUUGACUCUAGUUUUAUAUUGUAGAUAAUUAUAUUUUAGGAAUUGAGAUGUUCGUGAAAAUUGAACUUGAGUUUAGUUUAACGACAUUUCGGUCAGUGAGUUUGUGGAUUAGUUUAACGACUUUUCGGUGAUAUCGAAUUAGGUUUAGUUUAACGACGUUUCGGUCGAUAUCGGAUUUAGGUUUAGUUUAACGACGUUUCGAUUGAUUGAUUUGGGUUUGGUUCACAAGGUUUAUGGUAUUGGUAUAUGGGAUUAUGGUUCAUGGGUUUAUGGUUCAUGAACUCAUGGUUUGGGUUUAUGGUUUAUGGACUCAUGGUUCAUGGGUUUAUGGUUCAUGAACUUGGUGUAUGUUUGUGGUUUAUGAUCCAUGGCUCAUGAGCUUGAUUUUGAUUCAUGAACUUGAUCAUAGUUCGUGGAUGGUAUGGUCACAAGAUUUGGUGCAUGGUUUGGUCCAUGGUUUUGGUUCAGGUUCAUGGACUUGUUAGGUUUAUGGCUUGGAUAAGGUUAAAUGUGUAUGGGUUCAUGGGGAAAUGUAUAUAGGUUUAUGUAUAUGGGUUUAUGGGUUAAUUUUUAAUGAGUUUUGGAUAAUGGGCUUAGAUAGUGACACCAAAUGGGUUUGGACUGGGGCCAUUUUGUAAAUGGGCUCUGGGCUUUGGACUAGGCCUAGUUUAUUGGAUUGGUUAAUAGUGUAGAUUGGUUAUUGGAUUCGAAUUUGGUGAUUCAUUUGAUGUGGAUUCGGGCUCAAUAUGGGCUGAACUCAUUUUGAUGUGGAUUCGGGUUCAAUAUGGACCAAAUCAUUUUGGAUAUGGAUUUGGACUCAAUACGGGCUCAUUUCAUUUUGGAUUCGGGUUCAAAAUGGGCCAAAUCAUUUUGAAUUUAGACUCGGGCUCAAUAUGGGCUCAUUUUGGAUUUGGACUUGGGCUUUGGCUUAAUAUAGGAUUUGGAUUUGGGCUUUGGAUUUGGGCUGAGUUCGUUUUGGAUAUGGAUUUGGGUUCAAUAUGGGCCCGUAUAGUUUGUGCUAAAUUGAAAUUUGGGCUUGGGCUAGGUAUAGCUUCAUGGAUGGUCCAAAUUCAGAUUCAUAUAUGAGUCCAAGUUGAAACUUGAAUUAUAUGUGGGCUCGGGUUUAAUAUGGGUUCAUGAUUUAAAUCAAAUUAUGGAAUUGAGCCCCGAUUUGUAUUUGUGCUGGAUUCGGGUCAUGUUGAGUUCGGGCUUGUGAGACAAAUAUAGUUUUGGUCCAUAUGAGAUUCGAAAUCAAAAUAUUUCAAUAUAUGGUUCAAAAUCAAAUUCAUCCGAAAUAUAAUUAAAUAUUGAUUCGAUUUAAUUCGACCAAAUCGAAAGGUUCGAUUAAAGGGUUCGAUUAUUUUCGAACACUAUUAAAAGAACAAUCAAAAGAAUAUUAAUCGGAAAUCCGACUAAAUUUCUUUCAUUUCUUCAUUGAAGGAGAAUUAAGAGAAUACAUUUUUUUCUCUUUAUCUCUUUUAAAAAAUAAAAUAUAACAGAGAUGAAUAAUUUCUUUUUUUAUCUCUUUUACAUUCGUGGGACAACUAAGGCGGAAUAAAAAUCCCUUCCUUGCCUCCCUAAGAGUAACAAAGCUCUCUCUCUUUUUUAUCAUUGGAGAAGUAACGUCUCUUUCUCUUUUUAGAGGAGAGCACAGCUCUCUCUCUCUCUCUCUCUCUCUCGAAUUUGCCGUUGUUUGAGAGGAGAGCACCGCUCUCUCUCUCAGAUUCGCCGUCGAGCGGUUGGUGGGCGGAUUCCGGAUACAUCGAGCACUUGGCGGGCAGAACCCGUUUGAGAGGAGAGCACCGCUCUCUCUCUCAGGUUCGCCGUCGAGCGGUUGGUGGGCGGACUCUGUUGGCGGGCAUUGUUGAUGACGGAGCUCCGCUGGGGUUGUGACUUAACAAUGGAGCCGCGGAUCUGAGACCGCGACAGAGGAGGGCCGUGACGGCGACGCUCUGCAGCGGUGAAGAGUCACGACAGCGGCGCGGCAUCGACGGGGCUGUGGCCUUCGAGGUGGAGUGACGCGGCAUCAGAGGGAACUCCUCGGGUUCGAGCCAUCAAAGUCGACGAUGGCGCGCGGGCGUCGACGGAUCGGCCGAGAUCACGAGCGGAGUCAUGGGCGGCGGCUCGGCAUGGGCAUCGACGAAUUGGCCGCGGGUGGCGCGGCUUCGGGUGACGGCGACUUCGACGGAGCUUCUGCGUGGCUUCGGGCGGACCUGCCGCGGGUGGCGCGGCUUCAGGCAGAUCGGCCGCGGGUGGCGCGGCUUCGAGUCGAGGACGGCAGCGGUGGCGGCUUCAGGCAGGUCGGCCGUAGCGGCUUCGAGCGACUGAGGGCGGCGAACUCGGUGGAGUGGCCGAGCGGAAGGAUUUAGUGCGGCCGGCUCGACGGUGAUGAGGGAGCUUUGAGCGACCUCGUGCGGCUUCGAUCGGUGGGGGCCGCGCAAGAGGGGGUCUACACCGGCGACGGGGAACCGCAGUGGAGGAGGCGCGCGGUGGGGGAACGCGCCUACAAGCGCGAUCGUCAUGGGGCGGUUGACCACGGCGGAGGUCGGUGGAGUCCGCGGCCAUGCGCGCAGAGAAGUCGAGGAGCGGCGGCGAUGGCGGCUCGCGGUGAUGUCGGAGUUGAUGCUGUCGGGUUGGAGUCCGCGGCCAUGCUUGCGGAAUGGUCGAGGAGCGGCGGCGACGGCAAUGCAUCGUGCCUCAGGUUGACGGCGACAGCGCGGAAACGGCCAUCAGCGGUUGGAGCAUGUUCAAGCCGAGGGUCGACGGAGACGGCCAUCAUCAGCGCAAGCGGCCUCGACGUCGCGGAGUGGGCAUCAACGACGCCGGCCAUAGCAACGGAGCGCGCCUCGGAGCGCGCCUCGGAUCGGUGAGGACGACUGCGACGGUAGCGGAGCGUACUUCGGAGCGCGCUUCGGGUCGAGUAGCCUCGGAGCGCCCCCGGAGCGAUGGCGACGGCGACGGUGAGGAGCGACCGCCUUGAGGGAGGAGGAGAGAGAGAGAGAGAGACCUCUUUUCUCUCUUUUUUUUUUUUUUACCCAGAGAGAGAGAGCGAGCUUUGUUUAUUUUCGACUCGGGAGAGGACAUAUAUUUUUUUUACCUUUUCUUUCUUCUUUUCAACAGAAUUGAGUAGAUCUCUUUUUUUUUUUNUUUUUUUUUUUACCCAGAGAGAGAGAGCGAGCUUUGUUUAUUUUCGACUCGGGAGAGGACAUAUAUUUUUUUUACCUUUUCUUUCUUCUUUUCCCCUUUUUUUUUUUUUUGACUAGAUUUUUUUUUUGAAAUUUCCAAAGCUCUCUCCAUUUUUUUUUUGAUGGGUAUUUAUGAGGUCGUUUGUAACUAUCCUGAGGGAGAGCGUGCGAGGGAAUUGCGGGACGUGGGUAGUUGAGAGAAAAGUGGGAUGAGGUGGUUGAGGAGAACGUGCAUGGGUGAUUAAGAGGAAAUCGUGGGAUCGCGCAUGAUGGGAAUCCGGGAUUGUGGGAGAGAUUUUGGAUGGUUAUGAUGAGAUUGUGAGGUAUUUUGGACGGUUAGGAUGGGAUUGCGGGAAUAUUGCGGAUUAGUCCUUUCCCUUUGAUCAUAUUACACCUUGAUUAAGGUGGGGCAUUUUGUAAAUAUAUAAAAGGGAAUAGACUAAUAUGCUAUUUUAUAUACCCGUACGUAUUAUUUUUUCGCAAUCCGGUGCAUGAGAUAUUUUCAAAAUUUAAAUUUUAUCCAUGCACCUGGUGCAUGGAUGAUCUCAUAAACCAUCUCUAUUCUUUUUUUUUUUUUUUCUUUUCUUCUUCUUUUUUAUUCCUCUCUCUUUUUUUUUUAUGCUUCAUCAGUUCACAAAUUAUUUUUGGUUUCAUACUAAUAGUUUUAAGUAGUAAAGUUAAACUUAUAUUUAUUUUUUAAAAAAAUUUAAAUAGUUUAUUUAAAAAGAUAUAUGAAAUAUUUUAGUUUUUGUUUCAAAUAAUUUUCAUAAUUAAUAAUGCUAUUAACAUUAACGAAAACCACUAUAUAUGUCAUUAUGAAACCUAGUUGCAAUUAAAAAAGAAAAAAAUUAACAACAUUUUUAACAAAAACGAUUUAAUUGAAAUAAAACCUAAUGACUAGGAACCUAAUUGCAAGAAAAAAAAAUUAAAAACCAAAAUUAAAAAAAUCAGAAUAAAGAUGGGGAACAAAUUAAUGGUGCAAUCUUUUUUAUUUUUUUCAUAAGUGUUGGCCAUUUUAACAUAAUUUAUAUUUGGUUAAAAUGUAAAUACUUCAAUUUUCACCUUUUUUGGAUUUAACUAUAUAUCUAAUCUUUAAAAAUUUCGAUUUUACUAUCUAUAUUUUUAAUUUAUUUGAUUUGAAAUAAUUAACGACUCUUUAAUUUCAAAAUUUGAAUGCCCCGUUUAUCUUUACUAAUUUAAUUAAUAUAUUUUAAGUCAUUUUUUGUAACUAUAAAUUUAUUAAAAUAAGCUAUUAAUUAGCUUAAAUUUUGUACAUGAAGAAUCAUCAUAUUACUUUGAUAAAAUAAAUUCAAAGAUUGGGUAUCAAAAUUAAAAUUUUGAAAGAUUGUGUAGUCGAAUCAAAAUUGUCUAUAGUUUAAAUAAGUUUUUAUACUUUUUAAUCUUUAUAUUUUCACAUGACACACGGGCUUUAAUUAGCAAAAUCGCGUUGUUAAUACUUGAAUAUCAUCUGGGUGUUCCAUAAAUAUUUUAUAUGGCUAAAGCUAAUUUUGUUAUUUUAUAUAAGAUUAUGAAUAAUCUAAUUAAGUGCAAUAUAAUAAUUUAGGGUUAUUUGCAUACACGUCCCUACGAACAUAGUGAAUUGCAGAUAUAUCCCUGCAAAACGGAAACUCCAUAAGUUGUCCCUACAAAAGUUACAAGUUAUGCAGAUAGGCUCCUACUGUUAGAGUCUGUUAGAAAAUUUUCGUUAACCAUUGUUAAUUGUAAUGUGAAUUUAUGGUUCUACCCGUCUUCCUCUUCCUCUUCCUCCUCUUCUCUUCCCUCUUUUUCGUCACCGGCGAGGGAGAUGCAGCGGCGGUGGCGGCAGCGGCGGCGGACCCUCUCCUUCUUCCUCUCCCUCCUCCUCUCCCCCUACUUAUUUCUCUCCCUCUUCCUCUUCCCUCUUCUUCGUCGCCGGCGAGGGAGAAGAUGCGACGGCGGCGGCGAACCCUUUCCCUCCCCCUCUUCCUCUUAUUCUUCAUCUCUUUCUUUUUCUUCCCUCUUCUUCGUCGCCGGCGAGUCCCACCCGCGCCGUUGCCGCCGUCCGCUCCGGCGGCCCAAAGAUGAAGAGAAAGAGAAAGGGGAAGAGGAAUAUUUUUGGAGGGACAUAUUUGUGAGGGUAAAAAUGUUAUUUUACAAAUUCGCUGUUAAAAAGUUAACAGUUUACUAACGGAUGUUAACCAGAGGGAAAUAUCUGCAUAACUUAGGACUUUUGCAGGGACAACUUAUGGAGUUUCCGUUUUGCAGGGAUAUAUCUGCAAUUCACUAUGUUUGUAGGGACGUGUAUGCAAAUAACCCAAUAAUUUAAUAAUAAACUAAAAAUUUUAAAAAUUUUGGUUGGUUUACUUAUGUGCAAUGUGGAUGUCUUUGAUUAUAUAUACUAUUAUUUUCAUAUGAAACAACUGCAAUAAAAAAAAGGAAAAACUUCAAAUAUCUCCCCUGUUUUACACACUUUCUCACCUUAGUAUCCUAUAAUUUAAAGUGUAUCAAUUUACUGUCAUGUGGUUUCAUUUUUAUCAUUUUAUUAUCGAUUCUACUAUUUUUUUGUUAAAUCAGUAAUAAAGUUAAAACUAAGGGGUACUAAAAUCAAUAUUCGAUAAAUCUAGAUGGGGUAUCUGAAGUUUUUUUUUUUAUAUAAUUUAACGAAAAAGCUGACGAAAAAAAAAAAUGAAGCCACAGGACAUUAAUUUGAUACACUUUAAACCACAGGGUACUAAAGUGGGAAAGUGCGAAACCACAGGGGUGGUAUUUGAAGUUUACCCUAAAAAAAAAAAUUCUACUCAAGUCAUUUUUUGGGGUUAUAUACAGAGUUAACAAUCACUUUGAUUCUCAAAUUUUUGCUUUUGACAUUUUAGAUACUGAACUUACAGUAAAGUUUCAAAUAGUGUAUCUAAACUUUUAAAAGUGUUUCAUUUUAUUGAUAAUAUAUCCAUCCCAUAUUUUCAAAUUAGAGAUCUAACUUUUAUAUUAAAAAACUAUUACUCAAAGGGCCCGUUUGGUUCGAGUUAUGUAAUAUUACGAAGUAUCUCGACAUAUCCAGAUAUCUUGGAUUUCGGCGUGAGAUUACUACUGAUCCUACAUUAGCGCGUUUGAUUUAAUGCAGUAAUGUAAUACUAGAUUACAGUGUUUAUAGCAUUAAUACGUUUGGUUCAGUUUAUAAAAUUUAGUAAUCCUGACAUAAAAGUAUAGUUUUUUCCAAAAUUAUCCUUGUUGUGGUCAUUUGAAUAUUAUUUUUUGCGAAAAUGACGAAUGGAGGGAAGGAGAUCGUGAUGAUUACCUGGGAGGACGACGCAAUAGAAGAUGAUACGUGUUCGUGCGAGAGAGAGAGAGAGAGAGAGAGAGACGUCGAGAGAGAGAGAGAGAGAGCGAGAGAAAGCGGUGUGCGAGAGAGAGAGGGAAAGGCGAGAGAGAGAUGAAAAUAGUGCUGUUAAUUAGAUUAGGGUUGUUGGAGGGUAAAAUUGUCAUUUUACAUAAUAUGUAGUAUUAACGGGUUUCAGUAAUGCAAGAUACACGACCCCCUCCCAUUAAUAUUUUCGAUGUAAUCCUGCUCGAUUUGUAAUGCUACAUUAACGACUAGAUUACAUAGCGGAUUAACCAAACACAAUUAUCCUGACAGGAUUGCUUGUAAUCCUGGCAGGAUAACUCGAACCAAACGCACCCAAAAAGUAAUAUGGUUGAAUUAGAUAUGCGAUAAAAAAAAUAUAGUCGGUAAAUAUAUAGU
rnacentral:lncRNA from 1 species